CGCCCCACAGUUUGGGAACCUCUGCUUUAUGUUAUUCUUAUUUUAUCCCCUUUUGCUUAAUCCUCCGAGUAACUGUUUAAACUCUGAAAUGCACAUGUAAUGGGAAAUCAAAUCUACAAACAUAGUCCUGUUUGUAAAAAUGUCAUUUGCUGACUUCAAGCUUAUUUUUGAUACUUUGCAGCUUUUUUCUUGACAAAUCUUUAAGCUGAGGCAGUAAAGUGUGAUCUUAUGUCAUGUUAUGACUGAAUUACUAAGAUUAAAUACUGUUCUUUUUUCCCAGCUAUCCUCAUAAGACAGGCUAAAUGAAUAUUAAUGGUUUAUGGACAUGCCAAAUCUAGUAGCUCGAUUCAGUUUGGGAGGCUAACAGGUGAACAGGCAGACUUAUUUCUUCGUACAAGGGAAGCAGACAUCAUACCAAAACUCAAAGACAUGGACGAAGAUCUGCUGCCUCCUGUUGGUGCAGAUCAUCUUAGCAUUAACACUACAGUAACAUACCUUCUGGAUUUUGUGGUGGUAGGUAUUUAUCUUUGACAAAUUGUAUUUUUAUCAGAAAUUUUACAGAGUGGCUGAUCAUUUCACUAACUAAUUUGUUUUGCUAUUUUUCUGGUCUUUUGUCUCUAACCCUGGUACAAGAUAAGCAUUUCUCUGCUUCAUCAAGAAGUCGUCAUCCCCACGUGAUCUACAUCUGUGACCUGAGUUCACUGACACAGUAUGACAUCGAUACCAAGAACAAUGAAGUCACCAUCCUCUACAUCUGGUGUCAUGAAUACUAUGGACAAGCUUUUCAGAUUCUACUUGGUGUGUCCUAUCCACCACAACUAUCCCUGUCUUUACGUUCCAUAUUUACGAUCAGCUGUUCUCCAUACAAAGAAAAUCACACAUACUGGAACUGACUGGACAACUUGAAGCUGGCAAGUAAAAUGAUCAAUUGUCCAAGAGGGACUGCUUUCAUAGAGGUAUGGGGCAUCAAGAUACAAUAUCUUGUACUUUGGUUGACGAGCUUGACUUUGAAGAAAAAGACAUGCUGAGUGGUAAAUUAAUUGGUGAUUUGAAUUUGACUUGUAUAGAUGAACUAUUGCAUCUGUCGCAAAAUUUAUUGUUGUAACAUGAAUUUAAUUUUAAUAAAAGUAUGCAUCUUUAUAUUCUCAUAUGAAAA